rnacentral:rRNA from 1 species
CCGUUGUACACACCGCCCGUCACACCAUGGGAGCGGGUUCUGCCAGAAGUAGUUAGCCUAACCGCAAGGAGGGCGAUUACCACGCAGGGUUCGUGACUGGGGUG